rnacentral:rRNA from 1 species
AGUGAACGCUGGCGGUAGGCCUAACACAUGCAAGUCGAACGGCAGCACAGUAAGCGCUUGCUCUUACGGUUGGCGAGUGGCGGACGGGUGAGGAAUACAUCGGAAUCUACUUUUUCGUGGGGGACAACGUAGGGAAACUUACGCUAAUACCGCAUACGACCUACGGGUGAAAGCAGUGGUGCUUCGCACCUUGCGCGACUGAAUGAGCCGAUGUCGGAUUAGCUAGUUGGCUGGGUAAAGGCCCACCAAGGCGACGAUCCGUAGCCGGUCUGAGAGGAUGAUCAGCCACACUGGAACUGAGACACGGUCCAGACUCCUACGGGAGGCAGCAGUGGGGAAUAUUGGACAAUGGGCGCAAGCCUGAUCCAGCCAUACCGCGUGAGUGAAGAAGGCCUUCGGGUUGUAAAGCCCUUUUGUUGGGAAAGAAAAGCAGCAGGUUAAUACCCCGCUGUUCUGACGGUACCCAAAGAAUAAGCACCGGCUAACUUCGUG